UGGAAGCGUCUGGAAAGGCGUGCGAUACAGGGUGACAGCCCCGUACACAAAAAUGCACAUGCUGUGAGCUCGAUGAGUAGGGCGGGACACGUGGUAUCCUGUCUGAAUAUGGGGGGACCAUCCUCCAAGGCUAAAUACUCCUGACUGACCGAUAGUGAACCAGUACCGUGAGGGAAAGGCGAAAAGAACCCCGGCGAGGGGAGUGAAAAAGAACCUGAAACCGUGUACGUACAAGCAGUGGGAGCAGGCUUAGGCGUGUGACUGCGU
rnacentral:rRNA from 1 species